UUAACGGAGAGUUUGAUCCUGGCUCAGGACGAACGCUGGCGGCGUGCCUAAUACAUGCAAGUCGAGCGGACAGAUAAGGAGCUUGCUCCUUUGACGUUAGCGGCGGACGGGUGAGUAACACGUGGGCAACCUGCCCCUUAGACUGGGAUAACUCCGGGAAACCGGAGCUAAUACCGGAUAAUCCCUUUCUCCACCUGGAGAGAGGGUGAAAGAUGGCUU
rnacentral:rRNA from 2 species